CGCUCUCACACUCCUCACAAGAGAUAUCAAUUCAAUACCAAGACAAAGUUUCAUGUUUUAUCACUUUUAUGACAGCCAUGUUUAAUAAAAACUAAAAAGUGUUCGUAAUCCUAUUCCAGUAUUCCUUCAACAAAACAAGAUUACUAACAAUCAAAUUUUCCAGUGAACAAAAACUAAAGAACGUAACAGAUUGUCAAAUGCAAUUAUGCAAUAUAAAUACAAUUAUAUAACACAGUGCAUUAAAACGCGAUGUCUACAUAUCGUUUUUGUUUAAAAAUAGAAUUGCGUCGACAACAGCUGGCUUAAGCGAGGCACGUUUCUUUCAGACGACCAGUCCAGCCUUGCUGAAAAUCUCUUCGCUUGGCACGGACGUCGGCGGAGCCACUAAUACUCUAGCGGCAAGGUUCCGUAUGAAAGGGUAUCGCUUUUCGUUUUCUUUCCACCACAUUAACGGAUCUUCCGUCAAAC